UACGAGGGGGGCAAGCGUUGUUCGGAAUUAUUGGGCGUAAAGGGUGCGUAGGCGGUCUGAUAAGUCAUCUGUGAAAUCUAUGGGCUCAACCCAUAGUCUGCAGGCGAAACUGUCGGGCUUGAGUAUGGGAGAGGUGAGUGGAAUUUCCGGUGUAGCGGUGAAAUGCGUAGAUAUCGGAAGGAACACCUAUGGCGAAAGCGGCUCUCUGGAACGGUACUGACGCUGAGACGCGAAAGCGUGGGGAGCGAACAGG
rnacentral:rRNA from 1 species